rnacentral:lncRNA from 1 species
ACUGUGACCUUGGGUGGAGACUGGUCUGGUUCUGCCAUGGCUAAUCCUCCCCUCUCCAAGGAUCCCCUGUUUUCUCUUGCAGAUUUGCUAAAUGACCGCGCAGUCUGUCAUCUGCGGUGUUCGCGUGACCCUCAGCGCCCUCCCCACCCGGCAGGCCCUUUCCCGCCGAAUGGGUGCGGCUGGAUUAUUGAGGGAGUGGAGGGUCGCUUAGGGCACGGGCACGAGAGGCGAGGGCGAGACGUGGCUAAUGGGGAUCAAGAGUCAGAAUGGACCCGCCAAACUUUGCCCCGAGCCAGAACGGGCUCCCUACCCGCGUCCUCGACCCAUGGGUCCUCACCUCCAGGCUGGUGUCCUCAUUUUACAGUGGAGGAGGCCGAGACCAAGGUCACACAGAGAGCAAGGGGUAGAGCCGGGUCUGACUCCAUCCACAGCCAGGACGCUUUAACUCGUAUUUUUCACUUGGCAGGGGCUUGGCGGGGACGGAACGGUGAGGUCAGAGAAUGCUGCAGAGGGGACAUUGGGACCAGGUCUUGCAGUGAGUUGAAGUGCUCCAGGCAGAGAGCGCCGGUGGGUCUUUCCUGGCCAGGCCGCAGGGGGCCUUUGGGAAGCACCCGAGGCCUAUAACCUUCGGAGCGUUUGUCAAGCUCUAAUGAGAACUGGAAAGCUUCAGCUUCCCGAGGUGGGCUGGGAGGGCCUUAGGUAGGGCCUCGCACAAAUUGCGAAGGAAAGCCGACCUUGUUCUGGAGAGCACGUGGUGAGGAAAGCCAGCGACUUGAUGUGAGCAUUUAAACGGGAGGAAGGAAGAUGAGAACUGGUAAGAUUCUUCUCGGCCGGGCGGUGCAGCGGCUCACGCCUGUAAUCCUAGCACUUUGGGAGGCCGAAGCCAGGCGGAUGACUUGAGUUCAGGAUUCGGAAGUUUGAGACCAACCUGGGCAACAUUUCAAAACCCCCGUCUCUACAAAAAAUAUUGUUUAAAAAAAGCCAGGUGUAGUGGCACGCGCCUGUAGUCCCAGCUACUUGGGAGCUGAGCUGGGAGUAUCACUCAGGACGGCUCAGAUUGAGCCCAGGAGUUCCAAGCUGCAGUGAGCUAUGAUCGCACCACUGCACUCCUGCCUGGGUGACACAGACACCGUCUCAAAAAAAAAAAAAAAAAAAAAGCCGGGCGCGGUGGCUCACGCCUGUAAUUCCAGCACUUUGGGAGGCAGAGGCGGGCGGAUCACGAGGUCAGGAAUUAGAGACCAGCCUGGCCAAGAUGGUGAAACCCCGUCUCUACUAAAAAUACAAAAAUUAGCUGCGCAUGGUGGUGUGCGCCUGUAGUCCCAGCUACUCGGGUGGCUGAGGCAGAAGAAUCGCUUGAACCCAGGAGGUGGAGGUUGCGGUGAGCCGAGAUCGCGCCAUUGCACUCCAGCUUGGGCAACAAGAGAGAAACUCCGUCUCAAAAAAAGAAAAAAAAAGUGUGCAUAUAUAUAUAUAGUGUGUGUAUAUAUAUAUAGUGUGUAUAUAUAGUGUGUAUAUAUAUAGUGUGUGUAUAUAUAUAGUGUGUAUAUAUAUAAGUGUAUAUAUAAAAUAUAUAUAUUUAUAAUCAAUAUA